rnacentral:misc_RNA from 1 species
GCACUCUCACAACUAAUCUUUGUUGGUUAAGAUUGUGGAAUUGGGAUGCGCCAGUUGUUAUUGAUUGGCCCUCCUAAAAUGUAGCUCUUGACUGUGGACUGCUACAGUAGUUUGGCCUAAUAGUUUUGGCAGUUAUAUGUCAAAUCUUUGGCUACAUUUACUUUGGUCCAUGCAGUCUUGAUAUACAGAAAACUCUAAAUACAACU